UGGAAGGGUAAGACCCGAUGCAAGGCAAGGAGAGAGCUCGAGGUGGUGGCUGCUGGUUAGCUCCCUCUGGGCGCGGAUCUGGCCAGAAGUGAAUGCACCAACAUCCAUAACUCCUCGGAAAAGCCGGCUGACUCCCCUCGCUCCUUUCUCGGAUCCUCUGCCUACGCCUCUGGAGCCUCCCGCUUCUUUGGUUUGACAGAACAUUUGGACACAUUUCUGCAAACGGACCCUUGGCAUCUCUUCUUGGAACAAAGUUUUGUAUUUGGACUCUGGCACCACGCACCACAGAUGCAAGCAAGAAGCACUUCUACCUUCUGAGGCAGCCCCUCAAACUCAAGCCAGCUAGGCUAGGCCUGUCCAGCUUUCCUUCACAAAGAAGGAUUGGAGAGUUGCCGCUUACUGACUUUCUCAAAUGUCAUUACUUAGCCAGUCUUCUGAAGAUUGAGAUUCAUGAACACUGGACUCUUGCCUGUAAUUACAAUUCUUAAGUAUACUAACCUUAUUUUCAGCUGUAUUUUUAGUUGCUUUCUGACUUCAUCUUGAAAAUACCUAUACUCUUUCUGCAUUUAUUCUAAUCUUACUUCUGAUCUUGAUUUUAAAAGGAUCUUUAUCAAUGAAAUCACCUCCAAGAACUAUUUUUGAACUUUAAGAUGUAUUCUUAAAUUUUUAGUGAAGUAGGAUUUAGAAUCAACUUUGUGAAGAUUACUAACAGAAAAAUGAAUAGCUCCUACCAUAAGGCAGUUUAUAGUUAAUGUAAAGAAUAUUAUACUUGUUUAUACAUGAAAAAGUCAUUUUCUUUCUCUAAACCUCAGAGAGCUACAUAUAUUUAAUGAAUAAAUGAAUGUAUGAUGAAUGAAUACCUGUCAGUCUUUAGUGAAGUCUUAUCUCUUAUUUGGAAUUCUUUCUUUAGCCCCUAUGUCUUCAUAAAUUCCAACCAAUAUCCAGGAUUAAUUCAAAUUCCUUACAAGGAUCUGAGAAGGGUUGGAGCUGUGGUAUGGGUAUGACUGGUAGAUAGUUUUGAGCAACACUAUCACCAGAAAAUCUCUAUUUUUCUCCCAGUGACUUUUUGUUGAGGGUUGAAGAGUUUCCUUGAAGGUAAAAAAAAAAAACUGUACUCAUCCAAAAUGUUACAAAUGUAACUUAUGGUUCAAUAGAAGCCUCUGCAAGCCAGGAUACAGAAAGAAUCUUGAACCUUUGCAGAAGCUUGCAGAUUCAGCAACAGAGACUGAGAUAAGAAUGAAAUGGUAAUUCUGGGUAUGGUGUGGUGCCAAGUCCUGAAACCAGUCCCAAUAUACCUACCCUAGAAGCAUGUGGACAUCCUGAGGACAUGAAGGGCUCUGCGUGUGACCCGGAAAAGGUGUUCCACUAUAUUCUAAAAUAUUUAUGGGCUGUGGUAGGCAGAGAAAAUUAUCCAGCAAAAAUUCAUGAAUUGUUACUGAAAAGUGACUUCUCAGAUAAG
rnacentral:lncRNA from 1 species